rnacentral:lncRNA from 1 species
UGGGAAAUGGUCCACAGGACAAACAUUGUGCUCUCUAUGUGUUGUGGCUUUUGAGGUAUUUGCAUGGUGGGUUGUUCCCAUAGAGGUGUGCAAUUAUACAUAUGACACUUUUAGGUUUGGAGGUGGGUGAAUAACAACCCUGUUGCCAUUGUGUGUGUGUGUGUGCUCACUGGGUGUGAUGUGAGAUUCAUUCACCCUCAGUGAGUGAUUGGAUGAUUGAUGGGCUGAGGUGGUGCUGAUUCAAGUGGUGUAACAGUGUGUGCAUGUGUGGCAUUGCCAAAGAGGAUGAUGACAAUUGGGGUGGAGUGUGGUUGUGCUCUCAACAAUGUCUGUUAUUAGUUGUUAUUGAUGAAACAUGUGGUUUUUAUCUCCAAUGUUGUGUGGUAGGUAGAAAUUCAGAUGAAACCAGGUGAAAUGAUGAGAAUUGUGGAAAUGGAAAAAAUCCAUUCUAUAUGUGUGUGUAUAUAUAUAUAUAUAUACAUAUUUAUAUAUAUACAUAAUUUUUCUUUCUUAUUAUUAUUAUUUUUAAUUAGAAAUUUUUCAAUUCUUCUGAGUAGUAAUAAAAUUUAAAAUAAAAUCAUGUGUUUCUUGGUGUAGCUGUUUGGUCAAUUAAAUACUUUGAC